rnacentral:lncRNA from 1 species
AUAAACUUCAAAGAACUUUGAUCUGUCUAUCUCCAGGGAGCUGUGUUUCUAGGAAAAUGACCCCCAUGUAAGUUCACUUCAAUGACUUGAUCUUACAGCCAGCCCCCUACCCCGGUUUUUUGAGACAAAGUCUCACUAGGAAGUUCAGGGUAGCCUUCAACUCACUUUGUAGCCCAGCCCAGGCUGUCCUUGAACUUGCUGUGAUCCUCCUGUCUCAGCCUCCUAAGUGACAAGAUUAUAGGUGUGCGCCAAGAGCUUCUCUUUGUAAGAUAGAUCUAUGUUAAGAUUGUCACAUGCUAUUACAGGGGUACAAUGUUGGCAAUAUCUGCUAAAGGAGAAGAUAAAUAUCUGUCACUGGAGAUGGAAAGAAGGAGGAAUGCACGGGAACUGGCCUGUGAAGUCUCCAGGAAAGAUUCCUACUUCCAUGGAACCUCAGGGAAAACUGGGAAGAUUGCAAGCUGCUCCAUAACAAUAAACUACAUUCUGUGUAAAAUCG